AAACUUUCAACAACGGAUCUCUUGGUUCUGGCUAGUCGAUCGAAGAACGCAGCCGGAAACUGCCGAUAGAGAAAAUGGUGAAUUGCAGGAAUUCACGGUGGAACUCACUCGAAGUCUUCUGAGACGCCACGACUCGGCGCCCGCCGACGCGAGUUCUGGCGGGU
rnacentral:rRNA from 1 species